rnacentral:rRNA from 1 species
UACGUAGGGUGCGAGCGUUGUCCGGAAUUAUUGGGCGUAAAGAGCUCGUAGGCGGUUUGUUGCGUCGACUGUGGAAACCUGGGGCUUAACUCUGGGCUUGCAGUCGAUACGGGCAGACUUGAGUUCGGUAGGGGAGACUGGAAUUCCUGGUGUAGCGGUGAAAUGCGCAGAUAUCAGGAGGAACACCGGUGGCGAAGGCGGGUCUCUGGGCCGAUACUGACGCUGAGGCGCGAAAGCGUGGGGAGCAAACAGG